rnacentral:rRNA from 1 species
UUCUACGGCCAUCCACCCUGAACGUGCCUGAUCUUGUCUGAUCUCGGAAGCUAAGCAGGGUCAGGCCUGGUUAGUACUUGGAUGGGAGACCACCUAGGAAUACCAGGUGCUGUACGUG